AAAAAAGGUAAGCUACUAAGAGCGAAUGGUGGAUGCCUUGACUGGUAAAGGCGAUGAAGGACGUACUAGACUGCGAUAAGCUACGGGGAGCUGUCAAGAAGCUUUGAUCCGUAGAUUUCCGAAUGGGGCAACCCAAUGUAUAGAGAUAUACAUUACCUAUAUAGGAGCGAACGAGGGGAAUUGAAACAUCUUAGUACCCUCAGGAAAAGAAAUCAAUAGAGAUUGCGUCAGUAGCGGCGAGCGAAAGCGCAAGAGGGCAAACCCAGUGCUUGCACUGGGGGUUGUAGGACUGCAAUGUGCAAGAGGUAAGUUUAGCAGAACAUUCUGGAAAGUAUAACCAUAGAGGGUGAUAGUCCCGUAUGCGAAAAACAAACCUUAGCUAGCAGUAUCCUGAGUAGGGCGGGACACGAGGAAUCCUGUCUGAAUCCGGGUCGACCACGAUCCAACCCUAAAUACUAAUACCAGAUCGAUAGUGCACAAGUACCGUGAGGGAAAGGUGAAAAGAACUGAGGUGAUCAGAGUGAAAUAGAACCUGAAACCAUUUGCUUACAAUCAUUCAGAGCCCUAUGUAGCAAUACAGGGUGAUGGACUGCCUUUUGCAUAAUGAGCCUGCGAGUUGUGGUGUCUGGCAAGGUUAAGCAAACGCGAAGCCGUAGCGAAAGCGAGUCUGAAUAGGGCGCUUAGUCAGAUGCUGCAGACCCGAAACGAAGUGAUCUAUCCAUGAGCAAGUUGAAGCUAGUGUAAGAACUAGUGGAGGACUGAACCCAUAGGCGUUGAAAAGCCCCGGGAUGACUUGUGGAUAGGGGUGAAAGGCCAAUCAAACUUCGUGAUAGCUGGUUCUCUCCGAAAUAUAUUUAGGUAUAGCGUUGUGUCGUAAUAUAAGGGGGUAGAGCACUGAAUGGGCUAGGGCAUACACCAAUGUACCAAACCCUAUCAAACUCCGAAUACCUUAUAUGUAAUCACAGCAGUCAGGCGGCGAGUGAUAAAAUCCGUCGUCAAGAGGGAAACAACCCAGACUACCAGCUAAGGUCCCUAAAUCUUACUUAAGUGGAAAACGAUGUGAAGUUACUUAAACAACCAGGAGGUUGGCUUAGAAGCAGCCAUCCUUUAAAGAAAGCGUAAUAGCUCACUGGUCUAGUGAUUUUGCGCGGAAAAUAUAACGGGGCUAAAGUAAGUACCGAAGCUGUAGACUUGCACACAACUUAGAUUAUUUAAGUUUAGAAUAUGAGAAACUAAGUUAUAUGUUUAGUUAUAUUUUUACUGAUUUUUAUAGAGUAAAGAUAGAAAUAAAACUUAGUAAAAUCAGUAAAAAUAUUCUUAGACUAAAGUUAAGUAGUUUAAGUUGUGUGCAAGUGGUAGGAGAGCGUUCUAUUUGCGUCGAAGGUAUACCGGUAAGGAGUGCUGGAGCGAAUAGAAGUGAGCAUGCAGGCAUGAGUAGCGAUAAUUAAUGUGAGAAUCAUUAACGCCGUAAACCCAAGGUUUCCUACGCGAUGCUCGUCAUCGUAGGGUUAGUCGGGUCCUAAGUCGAGUCCGAAAGGGGUAGACGAUGGCAAAUUGGUUAAUAUUCCAAUACCAACAUUAGUGUGCGAUGGAAGGACGCUUAGGGCUAAGGGGGCUAGCGGAUGGAAGUGCUAGUCUAAGGUCGUAGGAGGUUGUACAGGCAAAUCCGUAUAACAAUACUCCGAGAACUGAAAGGCUUUUUGAAGUCUUCGGAUGGAUAGAAGAACCCCUGAUGCCGUCGAGCCAAGAAAAGUUUCUAAGUUUAGCUAAUGUUGCCCGUACCGUAAACCGACACAGGUGGGUGGGAUGAGUAUUCUAAGGCGCGUGGAAGAACUCUCUUUAAGGAACUCUGCAAAAUAGCACCGUAUCUUCGGUAUAAGGUGUGGUUAGCUUUGUAUUAGGAUUUACUCCGAAAGCAAGGAAACUUACAACAAAGAGUCCCUCCCGACUGUUUACCAAAAACACAGCACUCUGCUAACUCGUAAGAGGAUGUAUAGGGUGUGACGCCUGCCCGGUGCUCGAAGGUUAAUUGAUGGGGUUAGCAUUAGCGAAGCUCUUGAUCGAAGCCC
rnacentral:rRNA from 1 species